GUCCCAGUAGCGCAAUGGACAGCCCUUUUGACUUGUAAUCCAAAGGUCGUGGGUUCGAAUCCCAUCUGGGGUG